ACGGGUGCGUAACGCGUGGGAAUCUGCCCUUUGGUUCGGAAUAACAGCUGGAAACGGCUGCUAAUACCGGAUGAUGACGAAAGUCCAAAGAUUUAUCGCCAGAGGAUGAGCCCGCGUUGGAUUAGGUAGUUGGUGGGGUAAAGGCCUACCAAGCCGACGAUCCAUAGCUGGUCUGAGAGGAUGAUCAGCCACACUGGGACUGAGACACGGCCCAGACUCCUACGGGAGGCAGCAGUGGGGAAUAUUGGACAAUGGGCGCAAGCCUGAUCCAGCAAUGCCGCGUGAGUGAUGAAGGCCCUAGGGUUGUAAAGCUCUUUUACCCGGGAAGAUAAUGACUGUACCGGGAGAAUAAGCCCCGGGUAACUCCGUGCCAGCAGCCGCGGUAAUACGGAGGGGGCUAGCGUUGUUCGGAAUUACUGGGCGUAAAGCGCACGUAGGCGGCUUUGUAAGUCAGAGGUGAAAGCCUGGAGCUCAACUCCAGAACUGCCUUUGAGACUGCAUCGCUUGAAUCCAGGAGAGGUCAGUGGAAUUCCGAGUGUAGAGGUG
rnacentral:rRNA from 1 species